UAGGGAAUCUUCGGCAAUGGGGGGAACCCUGACCGAGCAACGCCGCGUGAGUGAAGAAGGUUUUCGGAUCGUAAAGCUCUGUUGUUAAGGAAGAACGAGUGUGAGAAUGGAAAGUUCAUGCUGUGACGGUACUUAACCAGAAAGGGACGGCUAACUACGUGCCAGCAGCCGCGGUAAUACGUAGGUCCCGAGCGUUGUCCGGAUUUAUUGGGCGUAAAGCUAGCGCAGGCGGUUAGAAAAGUCUGAAGUGAAAGGCAGUGGCUCAACCAUUGUAGGCUUUGGAAACUGUUUAACUUGAGUGCAGAAGGGGAGAGUGGAAUUCCAUGUGUAGCGGUGAAAUGCGUAGAUAUAUGGAGGAACACCGGUGGCGAAAGCGGCUCUCUGGUCUGUAACUGACGCUGAGGCUCGAAAGCGUGGGGAGCGAACAGG
rnacentral:rRNA from 1 species